UAAGGUACCCGUACCGCAAACCGACACAGGUGGGUGAGGAGAGUAUCCUAAGGCCAGCGAGAGAACUGUUGUUAAGGAACUCGGCAAAAUGACCCCGUAACUUAGGGAUAAGGGGUGCCACCAUCAGGUGGCCGCAGGGAAUAGGCCCAAGCGACUGUUUACCAAAAACAUAGGUUUCUGCUAAGUCGCAAGACGAUGUAUAGGAGCUGACGCCUGCCCGGUGCUGGAAGGUUAAGGGGAUCUGUUAGAG
rnacentral:rRNA from 1 species